GAACAAGAGCGGGGCCUUGCUCGCUGUAUAGAACUCAGACAAAAUCAAAUUGAGAGCGGGACAUUGCCUGCAUGAAUGAGAGCCAAGAGAGAGAUGGUGUCAUCUGAAAGGGAAUUUCCUCUUUCUAAUGAAAAAUAAGACCAAGGGUCCUUCAGCGUCGACUCUCCAUCUCAUGGGAGGACCGCACGAGAGGUCAGGGCUGAGACGUGAGCAUCUACCGGAGGCGUUUGGAGUUGUGCAGCUGCUGAAGGGAUGAACGCGUAGUGCUUGUUAGCUAAGGAAGAGACCUUCUUUUGGACCGCUGGUGCUUGCCACUCCUGCUGGAGAACCUCCGAGAAGCUCGUGCCACAGAUUCUGUUUGGCCCUGAAACACAGUGCUGGUGCUGAGCAGAGUCAGGGAAGAAAACAAAGCAGAGGAGGCACCCUGUGCACUUGCUGUCCUGUCUCUGUGCAUAUCCACCAAUCCUCCUGGCAAGAAGCCAGUCUGUUGGCUGACACCCUCUUCCUUCUCUACCUGCUUGCUCCACCCGUCUUGCACAUGUGUACACAAGGACAGAGGUUUCUGUGCUUUGCUGAGCUAUCAAGUGAGACUUCAAUAACGAGAGGGAGAAGUGGGGUGGGGAAAAUGAUAUACCAUGACAGUCUGGAGUAGACUAGCUCAGCAGCAGUGAGUGAGUUGCUAUGUGGGUGAAGAGAGAAAUCCUCGUACAUUUCUUUACUGCUUGCAGGCUGUGGGACAGCGGCUAUGUUUCAUCUCUGGUCAGCAGCAGCACCCCAGCUCCACAAGACUUUGUACUGACGGCUCUGCCAUUCUCAGCUUGCACAGGGUGGGUGGAAAACAGAGGAGAGCCCUCUCUGUGAGCACACAUGGGUGAAUGACAAACCGCCCUGAGCCAUUUUUUGAAGCAUGGUAUAGAAAUCAAUCAAAGAGGGUGGCUCCAAUGGUUAUCAGCAAGAAGAGGAAUAUUGAUACUGCAUGUUGGGUCUUCAAAGGUGCUUGGACAGAUGAUUUUUGUUUUUUGGUUAUGUAGCACAAUAGAAACAUAUUGACGCCAUUCACACAACCGAAAACUGUGUCCUACCCAGGUUCCAAUUUUCAGUUGUGUGAUUGCAAACAACUAGAUAUGGAGGAGGGAGAAGUAACUGUGAAGAAGCAAAGUAGGAGGAAAAGCUACCCAGCUCCCAAAUCUGGGCAGGGCACAGUAUCCAGUUGUGUGAAUGACCUCAUUGUGUCUGAUAUGUCUAGAAAAGGUAGCUGUUUUCUAGCCUUGUUAUUCUGAUAUUUGCUUACAGCCCAAGUAAGUAAAAAAAUGCAAUAUGGCUCCUCAUGCAAAAAGGCUCAACAACCUUAUUGUAACACAAAGUUUACAGCCUUCUGGAAAAUAAUAAUGUGAGCCACAGCAUAGCUUGUCUAAGGUCCUCAAAUGGCUGUACCUCCUCAAAACUUAGAAGUUUACAUUUAAUUUUCCAUACAUAUAAGUUCCUCUUGCUCCCAACAUACACCCUGUAUUCCACUUCCUCUUCUUCUGUACUCCAAGGACUCCCCAGUCUGUUUGAGAGCCUGCAUAUACCUGACUGGCCUGCUUGUGGCAUCUGUACUCCUCCAA